rnacentral:piRNA from 1 species
UAGAAUAUUCAUUAUUUUCAGCCUCUAAAA